rnacentral:lncRNA from 1 species
GCGCUGCAACAUUGAAGCGGUUGAUGUAGGUCCGAAUGGACUCCCCCUCCCUCUGCUUGAUAUUGAUGAGGGACUUUGAACCCUUUCGGAGAUGCCGGUUGCUGACAAAAUGGGCCACAAAUUAGUGGCUCAUUUGAUCGAAGGAAAAGAUGGUACCCGGCUUCAGCGUCGAGUACCAAUUUCUUAUCGCUUCCUUCAAGGUG